GCCACCCUAGCUCAAUUGGCAGAGCGACGCUUUCGUAAAGCGUAGGUUAAGGGUUCAAGUCCCUUGGGUGGCU
rnacentral:tRNA from 1 species